rnacentral:rRNA from 1 species
GACGAACGCUGGCGGCGUGCUUAACACAUGCAAGUCGAACGGAAAGGCCCUGCUUGCCGGGUACUCGAGUGGCGAACGGGUGAGUAACACGUGGGUGAUCUGCCCUGCACUUCGGGAUAAGCCUGGGAAACUGGGUCUAAUACCGGAUAGGAGCCAUUUUUAGUGUGAUGGUUGGAAAGUUUUUUCGGUGUAGGAUGAGCUCGCGGCCUAUCAGCUUGUUGGUGGGGUAAUGGCCUACCAAGGCGGCGACGGGUAGCCGGCCUGAGAGGGUGGACGGCCACAUUGGGACUGAGAUACGGCCCAGACUCCUACGGGAGGCAGCAGUGGGGAAUAUUGCACAAUGGGCGCAAGCCGGAUGCAGCGACGCCGCGUGGGGGAUGACGGCCUUCGGGUUGUAAACUCCUUUCGCUAGGGACGAAGCUUUUUGUGACGGUACCUAGAUAAGAAGCACCGGCUAACUACGUA